GUUUUGGUGAAGGACGGAAACAGGAAUUCCCCCUGUGUAUUAAGUGCCCAAGAAAGAGCAGAAAAGGCCAACAGAAAAGCAUCCAACAACAUCCUGGAAGAUGGGAUACUCAGAAGAAUACUUUUUGUGAAUCUAGCUAUACCAAGGUAGGUGGACAAAGCUUUUCCAUCCCUUUGUCAUUUGCUUGAUGGGCUGCAGCAGCUUAAAAGGUGAGUUUGGGGAUGUGGGAAAGAUAUGCUCUAUUUAUGCAGAAUAAUAUGAUCCAAGGUCUCAGAUAUUAUUGUAUUUCAUUUGUUAAUAAACUAUCAUAAAUUUAUUAUGAAUUUGAUAUUUAAUAAUACUUGAUUACAAAUAUUGUAAGAUUUUUUUUUACUUUAGCCAUAGGAUAGCAGAAGGCAGAAAUCUUCAGGUUUCUAU
rnacentral:lncRNA from 11 species